AGAGACGUGGAUGCUUCUCGUCCACAAGUUCUUUGGUGCCUCUAUGAUAUAGUCCGGUUUUGGAUACGUGAAAAUCAUAUCAUAUUGCUGCUGUGAAAAGUUAAUUUUCACGUGUCCAAAACCAGAUUAUCUCAUAUUGCUGCUGUGUAUCUUAUCAUCUUUUUCCUGCUACUCUUAC